rnacentral:rRNA from 1 species
UACGGGGGGAGCAAGCGUUGUUCGGAUUUACUGGGCGUAAGGGGCGCGUAGGCGGUCGUGACAAGUCACUUGCGAAAUCUCCGGGCUUAACUCGGAACGGUCAAGUGAUACUGUCGGACUAGAGUACAGAAGGGGCAACUGGAAUUCUCGGUGUAGCGGUGAAAUGCGUAGAUAUCGAGAGGAACACCUGCGGCGAAGGCGGGUUGCUGGGCUGAUACUGACGCUGAGGCGCGAAAGCCAGGGGAGCGAACGGG